AACGAACGCUGGCGGCAUGCCUAACACAUGCAAGUCGAACGAGACCUUCGGGUCUAGUGGCGCACGGGUGCGUAACGCGUGGGAACCUGCCCUUAGGUUCGGAAUAACUCCCCGAAAGGGGUGCUAAUACCGGAUAAUGUCUUCGGACCAAAGAUUUAUCGCCUUUGGAUGGGCCCGCGUUGGAUUAGCUAGUUGGUAGGGUAAAAGCCUACCAAGGCGACGAUCCAUAGCUGGUCUGAGAGGAUGAUCAGCCACACUGGGACUGAGACACGGCCCAGACUCCUACGGGAGGCAGCAGUGGGGAAUAUUGGACAAUGAGCGAAAGCCUGAUCCAGCAAUGCCGCGUGAGUGAUGAAGGCCUUAGGGUUGUAAAGCUCUUUUACCCGGGAUGAUAAUGACAGUACCGGGAGAAUAAGCGCCGGCUAACUCCGUG
rnacentral:rRNA from 1 species